rnacentral:tRNA from 1 species
GGGGAUAUAGCUCAGUGGUAGAGUGCAUGAUUAGCAUAUGUGAGGCCUAGAUUUAAUUCCCAGUACCACCC